AGUACUUAUUUUGUAUUUUGUUCAGAACAAAUUCUUAUUUACAAUGAUGGCCUACUCCGGCCAAAUCCAGACAACGCUGGGCUAAUUGUGCGCCACCCUACGGGACUCCCAAUCACAGCCAGAUGUGAUACAGCCUGGAUUUGAACCAGGUACUGUAAUGAUGCCUCUUGCACUGAGAUGCAUUGCCUUACACCGCUUGUUACGGAUACCAGUAUCCUCUGUGUGUGUGUGUGUGUGUGUGUGUGUGUGUGUGUGUCCUGUGUUCUUUUCUCUCCUUCUCCCCUCACAGGUGAAAAUCAUCACUCCCCAAUCAGUCACCAAUCCAAUCAUCAAUCAGAAGACACACCUCCUCCUGUUUCCUACCCAAUCACAGUUCCUUUCCCUUGGUUUAAAAAUCCCAUCAGUUGUUUGCUCAAGAGCUCAAUCGCUCUGUAAAUGCAAUGUCUGUAGGUCUCUGUGUUUCACUCUCUCGUUGUGUAUUAACCUCUCUUUUGUUUGAGCACCUCCAUAGCACUUUGUCAUCACCUGUGUUUUGGAUGCCACAAAGGAUGCAUUUUCUUGCUGUUUGCCCAGAGGAGGAUGGAGGGUCAUGGAUGAAGAAGUAUCUCCUUCUGGGCAGAUGGUGCCUCUGUGAACAUGGGCUACCGUGGGGGAGUGAUUGCCCACCUGCAGAGAGAGGCAGGGGGGCAUAUAUUCCCAAUCCACUGUAUGCCAAAUAGGGAAUAACACUGAAGGGGAAUCUGAAAGGCAUCACGGACCUCACCAAUCCCCAGCUGAAGCAGCAAGUGUAGGUGGCCAUCAACAUGGGCGUGGAUGAUCUCAAAGCCAGGUUUGGUAGUUUGCUGAAGGAUGAGGGUGUCCAGAUCCCAGUGGAGUCUUUCAGAGUGCUAAACCCUGACGCAUGGCCAGAAGACCAGGCCAGCCUUCUCACCUUUGGCGAUGAUGGUGUGUGUUGUAGACCUGCUGAUGCAUUUCAAGGAGCCUCUAGAGAUCGGGGUGCAACAUGGCUGCAAUCCAGGAUGAGUGGCAGGGGCUGAAAAUCCUGGUCAGCCACAAUUUCAAGGACACAUCCUACAGUGGCCUGUGGGAGACCAUGUUAACAAAGGACCCCUACAGGCACGAUUACAAAGUAGACUAACAGUCCUGAGGGGCUAUGUAUGGUAUCCUUCUAUAGUUGGUUUUGAUAAGUUAGUGGUAAGAGUUUAAAUGAAAUGUAAAGUUAUCAUCUUUUCCCUAGAACAUACUGGAGUUGGUGCAGCUUAUACUGGUGCUGCCCAUUUCAGCCGCCCAGUGUGAGCGGGGCUUCUGUGCAGAACCGGAUUAAGAGUUCGACAAGAAGCUGCCUUGGUGUCUCCACCAACGAAGACCUGAUGAGGAGCAGCCUGGAGGGGUCUUCUGUCGAGGAGUUGGAUCCCACUCCUGCCGUGGACCGCUGCCUGACCUCUAAGCGUGCCAGACGGCCAACAUACAAAAGCAGCUGGACAACUGAUAUCCUUUGCAUCUAGUAGGCAUGGGUCAAUGUGUGAUUUUGGUGGUAUGUGCUGUUGCACAGAUGUUUGUCCCUUAGUACACGCUCACACACAGAGUAUAAAUAUGUUUGUUAAUAAACUCUGUUACUUGAACAUUGUUCACUGUGCUCCUACAUUUUUCCAUUUAGGAGCACAUGUACUCCUUGGGGGAUAAAGUUAGGGUCGAGCCCUGAAAGCUCGCCCUCCAUUUGGCAAAUCUGACCAUAAUUCUAUUCUCUGGACUCCCUGCUUUUACACCCUACUCUCUGUUGGUAUCAUCUAUGCAUACUCACUUUAACUCUACCUACUUGCACAUAUUACCUCAACGAACCGGUGCCCCCGCACAUUGACUCUGUACCGCUACCUCCCCUGUAUAUGGUCUCGUUAUUGUUUUUUACUGCUGCUUUUUAAUUACUUGUUACUUUUAUCUCUUGUUCUUAUCUGUAUUUUUUUUAAACUGCGUUGUUGGUUCGGGGUUCGUAAGCAUUUCACUGUAAGGUCUACCUACACCUGGUACUCCAGAUUGCAUUUACGAACACAAGUUUCUAAUGGAGAUGUUAAACUCUGUCACUUGAAACUGCUCGCAUCAGGUGUGUCUUUAAGAACAGUGCUUUCCCACAAUCAGCAAUUUGGCAAAUGUUUAAAAAUUAUGUAUUACAUUCAUUACUUCAUGAGAGUAGUUGCAUGUUCAGUAAUAUGGGAGGAUAGG